GUUUGAUCCCGGCUCAGGAUCAACGCUGGCGGCGCGCUUAACACAUGCAAGUCGAGCGGAAAGGCCCUUCGGGGUACUCGAGCGGCGAACGGGUGAGUAACACGUGAGUAACCUGCCCUGGACUUUGGGAUAACCCUCGGAAACGGGGGCUAAUACCGAAUAUCCACGGUCUACCGCAUGGUGGGUUGUGGAAAGUUUUUCGGUCUGGGAUGGGCUCGCGGCCUAUCAGCUUGUUGGUGGGGUGAUGGCCUACCAAGGCGACGACGGGUAGCCGGCCUGAGAGGGCGACCGGCCACACUGGGACUGAGACACGGCCCAGACUCCUACGGGAGGCAGCAGUGGGAAUAUUGCACAAUGGGCGGAAGCCUGAUGCAGCGACGCCGCGUGAGGGAUGACGGCCUUCGGGUUGUAAACCUCUUUCAGCAGGGACGAAGCGAGAGUGACGGUACCUGCAGAAGAAGCGCCGGCCAACUACGUGCCAGCAGCCGCGGUAAGACGUAGGGCGCGAGCGUUGUCCGGAUUUAUUGGGCGUAAAGAGCUCGUAGGCGGCUUGUCGCGUCGGCUGUGAAAUCCCGUGGCUCAACUGCGGGCUUGCAGCCGAUACGGGCAGGCUAGAGUUCGGUAGGGGAGACUGGAAUUCCUGGUGUAGCGGUGAAAUGCGCAGAUAUCAGGAGGAACACCGGUGGCGAAGGCGGGUCUCUGGGCCGAUACUGACGCUGAGGAGCGAAAGCGUGGGGAGCGAACAGGAUUAGAUACCCUGGUAGUCCACGCUGUAAACGUUGGGCGCUAGGUGUGGGGGGCCUCUCCGGCUCUCUGUGCCGCAGCUAACGCAUUAAGCGCCCCGCCUGGGGAGUACGGCCGCAAGGCUAAAACUCAAAGGAAUUUACGGGGGCCCGCACAAGCGGCGGAGCAUGCGGAUUAAUUCGAUGCAACGCGAAGAACCUUACCUGGGUUUGACAUCACCGCAAAACUUCCAGAGAUGGGAGGUCCUUCGGGGGCGGUGACAGGUGGUGCAUGGCUGUCGUCAGCUCGUGUCGUGAGAUGUUGGGUUAAGUCCCGCAACGAGCGCAACCCUCGUUCGAUGUUGCCAGCGGGUUAUGCCGGGGACUCAUCGAAGACUGCCGGGGUCAACUCGGAGGAAGGUGGGGAUGACGUCAAGUCAUCAUGCCCCUUAUGUCCAGGUCUUCACGCAUGCUACAAUGGCCGGUACAAUGGGCUGCGAUACCGUGAGGUGGAGCGAAUCCCAAAAAGCCGGUCUCAGUUCGGAUCGGGGUCUGCAACUCGACCCCGUGAAGUCGGAGUCGCUAGUAAUC
rnacentral:rRNA from 1 species